rnacentral:lncRNA from 1 species
UUAACACAUCAUUUUACAAAUAAAAGCAUUAGUCAAAUCAUCUAAAUCUUAAAAAUCUAACAAAAUAUAAGAUGUAAGAUUACUUAACCUAAUCAACAAAAUUUUUUUUGCAUUAUUAUUUUUUAUUUCAAAUUGGUUCUUGCUUUUUAAAAUCAGGGUUUUUAUUAUUUCAAUUUUUUAUUUUUUUAUUUUAAUUUUUUAUUUUUUAGACAGGGUUUUGCUUUUGUUGCCCCCGGCUGGAGUGCAAUGGCACGAUCUUGGCUCACUGCAACUUCCGCCUCCCAGCUUCAAGCCAUUCUCCUGACUAAGCCUCCCAUGUAGCUGGGAUUACUGGUACCCGCCACCAUGCCCAUUGAAUUUUUGUAUUUUUAGUAGAGAUGGGGUUUCACCAUGUUAUUUUUAAUUUUUAAUUUUCAAUUUGUGUGGCCACAUAUUAAUUAUAUAUAUAUAUAUGGGGUAUAUGGAUAAGGUAGGCCAUAUGCAACAACGUUUGAAAAUGGAAUAAGAAAACCCUAAAAUAAGGUUCCUGGUGAUGGGUUAUAGCUCUGAACUUGCCAUUGUCAAGCAAAGCACAUUUUAAAGUAAUUAUCUGAACAAAAGUUUCAGAUGGCUUAACACUGGGAGAGCCACCUAAACUGGGUGCCGUGUUUCUCAGGGCAGAACCACUAAGGAAAGAGGCCUGGUGUCUGGGGUACCAAAUACCUCC